UGGGGAAUAUUGGACAAUGGGCGAAAGCCUGAUCCAGCCAUGCCGCGUGUGUGAAGAAGGCCUUCGGAUUGUAAAGCACUUUAAGUUGGGAGGAAGGGCAUUAACCUAAUACGUUAGUGUUUUGACGUUACCGACAGAAUAAGCACCGGCUAACUCUGUGCCAGCAGCCGCGGUAAUACAGAGGGUGCAAGCGUUAAUCGGAAUUACUGGGCGUAAAGCGCGCGUAGGUGGUUUGUGAAGUUGGAUGUGAAAUCCCCGGGCUCAACCUGGGAACUGCAUUCAAAACUGACUGACUAGAGUAUGGUAGAGGGUGGUGGAAUUUCCUGUGUAGCGGUGAAAUGCGUAGAUAUAGGAAGGAACACCAGUGGCGAAGGCGACCACCUGGACUAAUACUGACACUGAGGUGCGAAAGCGUGGGGAGCAAACA
rnacentral:rRNA from 1 species